UGGGGAAUCUUCCGCAAUGGACGAAAGUCUGACGGAGCAACGCCGCGUGAGUGAAGACGGCCUUCGGGUUGUAAAGCUCUGUGAUCCGGGACGAAAGAGCCUGAGGUGAAUAGCCUAAGGAAGUGACGGUACCGGAAAAGCAAGCCACGGCUAACUACGUGCCAGCAGCCGCGGUAAUACGUAGGUGGCAAGCGUUGUCCGGAAUUAUUGGGCGUAAAGCGCGCGCAGGCGGCUUCCUAAGUCCAUCUUAAAAGUGCGGGGCUUAACCCCGUGAUGGGAUGGAAACUGGGAAGCUGGAGUAUCGGAGAGGAAAGUGGAAUUCCUAGUGUAGCGGCGAAAUGCGUAGAGAUUAGGAAGAACACCGGUGGCGAAGGCGACUUUCUGGACGAAAACUGACGCUGAGGCGCGAAAGCGUGGGAAGCAAACAGG
rnacentral:rRNA from 1 species